rnacentral:rRNA from 1 species
UCCGUAGGUGGUUUGGAUAGUCGGGUGUGAAAUCCCACAGCUCAACUGUGGAACUGCACUCGAAACUUCCAGACUAGAGUACGAGAGGGGUAAAGGGAAUUCCCGGUGUAAGGGUGAAAUCUGCAGAGAUCGGGAGGAACACCAGUCGCGAAGGCGCUUUACUGGCUCGUUACUGACACUGAGGGACGAAAGCUAGGGUAGCAAACAGGAUUAGAUACCCUGGUAGUCC